UGCCCGAUUGUGUAAUGGCAGCACGACAGACUCUGACUCUGUUUGUAAGGGUUCGAAUCCUUUUCGGGCAACCA
rnacentral:tRNA from 1 species